rfam:Schistosoma rodhaini strain Burundi genome assembly, scaffold: SROB_scaffold0006814
GCACUGCUGAGGAGUCCCACAGUAGGAGGAAAUGGCCAUCCAGUGC